rnacentral:rRNA from 1 species
CCAGACUCCUACGGGAGGCAGCAGUGGGGGAUAUUGCACAAUGGGGGAAACCCUGAUGCAGCGACGCCGCGUGGGUGAAGAAGCGCCUCGGCGCGUAAAGCCCUGUCAGCAGGGAAGAAAAUGACGGUACCUGAAGAAGAAGCCCCGGCUAACUACGUGCCAGCAGCCGCGGUAAUACGUAGGGGGCAAGCGUUAUCCGGAUUUACUGGGUGUAAAGGGAGCGUAGACGGUUAUGUAAGUCUGGAGUGAAAGCCCGGGGCCCAACCCCGGGACUGCUUUGGAAACUGUGUAACUGGAGUACAGGAGGGGCAGGCGGAAUUCCUGGUGUAGCGGUGAAAUGCGUAGAUAUUAGGAGGAACACCAGUGGCGAAGGCGGCCUGCUGGGCUUUUACUGACGCUGAGGCUCGAAAGUGUGGGGAGCAAACAGGAUUAGAUACCCCUGUA